rnacentral:misc_RNA from 1 species
UAGUAAUAUUCACGAAACUGCUCUUGGAUCCCCAUACAACCAUGAAUGUGACAUGCUCGAUAAAGAGGCGUCAGGUCAAACUUUAAGACAGAUUCUUCAUUAAUCUCCUCAACAUCUAGGGUAUAAGUGAAGUCUCCUAACCCCAAACAACUUUGUUCCUCGGCUUUUCUUUGACGGGCUAGCAUAUCCUCAUCCCUUUGACGAGCAGAUGCAGCAUAUCCUAUUGCAGUUUGCCCAAUAUCCUUUGCUGUACUCCUUAUGUGAACUAGCCAUUCAUUAAUUUCACUGGUUACUCUCUUCUCAAUAUGCAAUUUAAUCAGUGGUAUUCUCUUCUCUAUCAUAGUCCUGAGUGGCUUGACGGGAAUGUUCUG